CCUACGGGGGGCAGCAGUGGGGAAUAUUGGACAAUGGGGGCAACCCUGAUCCAGCCAUGCCGCGUGUGUGAAGAAGGCCCUCGGGUUGUAAAGCACUUUCAGUGAGGAAGAACGCCUGGUGGUUAAUACCCAUCAGGAAAGACAUCACUCACAGAAGAGGCACCGGCUAACUCCGUGCCAGCAGCCGCGGUAAUACGGAGGGUGCGAGCGUUAAUCGGAAUUACUGGGCGUAAAGCGCGCGUAGGUGGCUUGAUAAGCCGGUUGUGAAAGCCCCGGGCUCAACCUGGGAACGGCAUCCGGAACUGUCAAGCUAGAGUGCAGGAGAGGAAGGUAGAAUUCCCGGUGUAGCGGUGAAAUGCGUAGAGAUCGGGAGGAAUACCAGUGGCGAAGGCGGCCUUCUGGACUGACACUGACACUGAGGUGCGAAAGCGUGGGUAGCAAACAGGAUUAGAUACCCCAGUAGUC
rnacentral:rRNA from 1 species